UACGGGGGGAGCAAACGUUGUUCGGAAUCACUGGCGUAAAGGGCGUGUAGGCGGCUGGAUAAGUGGGAUGUUAAAUCCCCCGGCUCAACCGGGGACCUGCAUCUCAUACUGUUCAGCUCGAGCACAUCAGAGGAGACUGGAAUUCCCGGUGUAGCGGUGAAAUGUGUAGAGAUCGGGAGGAACACCGGUGGCGAAGGCGGGUCUCUGGACAGUUCCUGACGCUGAGGCACGAAGGUCAGGGGAGCAAACGGG
rnacentral:rRNA from 1 species